rnacentral:SRP_RNA from 1 species
GCCAGACCUGAUGGCACACACCUGUAGUCCCAGCUACACAGGAGGCUAAGGCAGGUAUUCUGGGUUGCAGUGGGCUAUAUCAAUCGAGUGUCUAUACUAAAUUCAGCAUCCGUAUGGUAAUCUCCCAGGAGUAGGGAACUACCUAGCUGCCUAAGGAGGAGUAUAUCGGCCCAGGAUGGAAAUGGAGCAGGUCAAACUCUAGUACCAAGCAGUGGUGGGAUCACACUUGUGAAUAGCCACUGUACUCCAGCCUGGGUAACAU